AUAUAUACAUUUCUCACCUAUGUGCCUAAUUUUAAAAGCAAAUAUUUUCUGGCUAAACUUUUGAGGGGGGAUGGGUUUUCUAGGACCCUGGGAAACUGGAGACCUGAAGAGUUUUGGGGGACACUUGAACACUGACUUUGGUGUUUUCCCCUGGUUGAGGAUGGCCCUAUUGAUACUGAGUUUCUAGAACUAGAGGAUCCUAAACAUUCAUUGUAAUGAAAGCAGAUAGAUUGUGAGCAUAAUUACUCCAGAAUGUUGAUGUAAAGCUGAGAGUAAAUGGGUAGUUUCUUACAACUAAUUGUUCAGUGUCACCAGCACACCUCACUGAGGGGGAAACUGUCCACCAGCACGCUGCAUCCAGCCCUGCUCUGUGAGACCACCUCAUUCCCAUUCAGUCUCUUUGUUGGCCAGGAGUCCAUAAUGGUGUGUGCAUGUGGGGGAGGGGGAUCUUUUCC
rnacentral:lncRNA from 1 species